rnacentral:rRNA from 1 species
ACGGCACCGACAACGGUCGCACCGUGGCCGACACCUAGCGAGUAUCGUUUACGGCUAGGACUACCCGGGUAUCUAAUCCGGUUCGUGCCCCUAGCUUUCGUCCCUUGCCGUCAGGUCCGUUCUGGUGAGACGCCUUCGCCACUGGUGGUCCUUCAAGGAUUACAAGAUUUCACCCCUACCCCUGAAGUACCUCUCACCUCUCCCGGCCUCGAGCCAGACAGUAUCUCCUGAAAGCCUGACAGUUAAGCUGCCAGAUUUCUCAAGAGACUUAUCCGGCCGGCUACAGACCCUUUAGACCCAAUAAUAACGGUUACCACUCGAGCCGCCGGUGUUACCGCGGCGGCUGGCACCGGUCUUGCCCGGCCCUUGCUAUGAAAUGCUUUUUAGGCAUCUCGACAGCCAGAUUUGUAACCUGGCACUCGAGGUUCCCUUAUCGCU